rnacentral:rRNA from 1 species
GAUGAACGCUGGCGGCGUGCCUAAUACAUGCAAGUCGAGCGAACAGACGAGGAGUUUGCUCCUCUUACGUUAGCGGCGGACGGGUGAGUAACACGUGGAUAACCUACCUAUAAGACUGGGAUAACUUCGGGAAACCGGAGCUAAUACCGGAUAAUAUAUUGAACCGCAUGGUUCAAUAGUGAAAGACGGUUUUGCUGUCACUUAUAGAUGGAUCCGCGCCGCAUUAGCUAGUUGGUAAGGUAACGGCUUACCAAGGCAACGAUGCGUAGCCGACCUGAGAGGGUGAUCGGCCACACUGGAACUGAGACACGGUCCAGACUCCUACGGGAGGCAGCAGUAGGGAAUCUUCCGCAAUGGGCGAAAGCCUGACGGAGCAACGCCGCGUGAGUGAUGAAGGUCUUCGGAUCGUAAAACUCUGUUAUUAGGGAAGAACAAAUGUGUAAGUAACUAUGCACGUCUUGACGGUACCUAAUCAGAAAGCCACGGCUAACUACGUG